rnacentral:rRNA from 1 species
GAGAACCAACCGGGAUUCCCUCAGUAGCGGCGAGCGAAGCGGGAAAAGCCCAUCGCCGAAUCCCUCGCCGAACCUCGGCGGUCUGGGAACUGUGGCGUAAGGGUCCGACUCGUCGGGCGUCUGGCCGUCCGAACAAGUCCCGCGGGACAGGUGUGCUCCCAGAGUGGGUGUGAGGCCUUUAGUUCGGUCUGGGUCUUCUGCUCGACGCGGUCGGCACCCGAGAGUCGAGUUGCUUGGGAUCGCAGCUCAAAGCGGGUGGUAAGCUCCAUCUAAGGCUAAAUACUAGCACGAGUCCGAUAGCGAACAAGUACCGUGAGGGAAAGUUGAAAAGAACUUUGAAGAGAGAGUUCAAGAGACCGUGAAAGCGCCUACGGGCAAACGGGUGGAACCGCCGGUGCGACCAGCGGAAUCCAGCUCUUCGGGCAGGCGGCUCGCCGGUGGCGGUGUGGACUCGACCUUUUCGGAGGCAGGGCUCACCGUUCCGGUCUAUGGGCUCGUCCCCGUCGGCGUAUCUUCCGCUGUCUGUCGCGAGUCGCGACCGGCUCGGAGUGCUUCGUCUCGAUUGGCGUCAGGCGAGGGGCGUUCGCGCACCCGUCUUCGGACGGCCUGCGUCGGUCGAUAUCAAGACGAAUGUAGCUCCGGGCCGAGGAACGGGCCCCGUCCCCGCUCCCGACCCAGUCUCCCGGCGACGUCGCGACCGCCUUGACUGCCUCUCUGAGGCUUAACAGUGCAAGUGCGGGCGCUCGGUCGGCGUCGGCGAGGCGGCGGGCAUUGGGUGGACGGCUAAGAGGGUCCGCGGCUGGCCGUGGCGGCACUCUUCCCGACCCGUCUUGAAACACGGACCAAGGAGUCUAACGUGAGCGCGAGUCACAGGGAAAAACACUCCCUUGGGGCGCAGCGAAAGCGACGUGGUCCGAUCUUCGCUCGUUGAUGGGCGGAGCGCAGGACCGGCCCGUCGGGGGUUGUUACGGCCUCGGCGGAGCAAGAGCGCUCGCGUUGGGACCCGAAAGAUGGUGAACUAGGCCCGAGCGGGACGAAGCCGGGAGAAAUGCUGGUGGAGGUCCUAAGUGGUUCUGACGCGCAAAUCGAUCACGGAACUUGGGCGUAGGGGCGAAAGACUAAUCGAACCAUCUAGUAGCUGGUUCCCUCCGAAGUUUCCCCCAGGAUAGCUGGCGCUCGCCGAGACAGUUUCGUCCGGUAAAGCGAAUGAUUAGAGGAGUCCGUGCCGAAAUGGCGUGGAGCUAUUGUCAAACUUUGAACGGGCGAGGAGGGGUGCCUACCGCUCGAUCUGGGAGGCUCGGCCCCCGUCGAAAUGUACGAGUGCCAAGUGGGCCACUUUUGGUAAGCAGAACUGGCGCUGUGGGAUGAACCAAACGCCGGGUUAAGGCGCCCGAUCGUCACGCUCAGCAGAACCCACAAAAGGCGUCCAUCGGUACAGACAGCAGGACGGUGACCAUGGAAGUCGGUAUCCGCCAAGGAGUGUGUAACAACUCACCUGCCGAAUUGGUGGGCCCUGAAAAUGGAUGGCGCUGUAGCGUGCAGCCUACACCCGGCCGUCUCGGCCACCGUGUCCCUUCACCGGGAGACGCCGACCGAAGCUGAGACGAGUAGGAGGGUCGCCGCGGUCAGCGCUGAAGCCUUAGACGUGAGUCUGGGUGUAGCGGCCGCGGGUGCCGAUCUUGGUGGUAGUAGCAAAUAUUCGAGCGAGAACCUCGAAGGCCGAAGUGGAGAAGGGUUCCGCGUUGCUCCUUCGAUCGGCCGCGGGUUAGUCGGUCCUAAGGCCUGGGAGAAAUCCUACGGGAAGCGGGACGUUUUGUUUCUACAGAAUCCGUCUCACCCCAAUGCACGGGCCGAAAGGGAAACGGGUUAGGAUUCCCGUACCCGAAGGCGGAGCACAAGCGGUGACGCAAAGAAGGUCGGAUACGCCGUCGGGAGAGUCGAGAAGAGUUAACUUUUCUUUUUGAGGUGCGCUCGCUGACCCUGGAAGCGGUUCUGCCGGAGAUAGGGAGCGAGAGCAAUCAACUUUAUCCGCAAAGCCGGCUCCAGCGGGGGCCUGUUCGGCUACGACUCGACGGUCCUUGAAACUCCGACGGCUAAACUUUAUUUCUUUGGAAAUUGUAAAAUUUGAUCGCUCUCGCCUCGGGCCGUACCUCAAUCCGCCGCAGGUCUCCAAGGUCGCAGCC